rnacentral:rRNA from 1 species
GACGAACCGUCCUAACGUUGUUCGGAAUCACUGGGCUUAAAGGGCGCGUAGGCGGACCACCAAGUCCGGGGUGAAAUCUUUCGGCUUAACCGGAAAAGUGCCUUGGAUACUGGUGGUCUCGAGUGAGGUAGGGGCAUGUGGAACUUCUGGUGGAGCGGUGAAAUGCGUUUGAUAUCAGAAGGAACUCCGGUGGCGAAAGCGACGUGCUGGACCUCUUCUGACGCUGAGGCGCGAAAGCUAGGGGAGCGAACGGG